AGUGAACGCUGGCGGUAGGCCUAACACAUGCAAGUCGAACGGCAGCACAGUAAAAGCUUGCUCUUACGGGUGGCGAGUGGCGGACGGGUGAGGAAUACAUCGGAAUCUACUUUUUCGUGGGGAUAACGUAGGGAAACUUACGCUAAUACCGCAUACGCCCUCCGGGUGAAAGCAGGGGAUCUUCGGACCUUGCGCGAUUGAAUGAGCCGAUGUCGGAUUAGCUAGUUGGCGGGGUAAAGGCCCACCAAGGCGACGAUCCGUAGCUGGUCUGAGAGGAUGAUCAGCCACACUGGAACUGAGACACGGUCCAGACUCCUACGGGAGGCAGCAGUGGGGAAUAUUGGACAAUGGGCGCAAGCCUGAUCCAGCCAUACCGCGUGGGUGAAGAAGGCCUUCGGGUUGUAAAGCCCCUUUGUUGGGAAAGAAAAGCAGCAGGUUAAUACCCCGCUGUUCUGACGGUACCCAAAGAAUAAGCACCGGCUAACUUCGUG
rnacentral:rRNA from 1 species